rnacentral:rRNA from 1 species
UUCGGGUGACGAGCGGCGGACGGGUGAGUAAUGUCUGGGAAACUGCCUGAUGGAGGGGGAUAACUACUGGAAACGGUAGCUAAUACCGCAUAACGUCGCAAGACCAAAGUGGGGGACCUUCGGGCCUCAUGCCAUCAGAUGUGCCCAGAUGGGAUUAGCUAGUAGGUGAGGUAAUGGCUCACCUAGGCGACGAUCCCUAGCUGGUCUGAGAGGAUGACCAGCCACACUGGAACUGAGACACGGUCCAGACUCCUACGGGAGGCAGCAGUGGGGAAUAUUGCACAAUGGGCGCAAGCCUGAUGCAGCCAUGCCGCGUGUAUGAAGAAGGCCUUCGGGUUGUAAAGUACUUUCAGCGAGGAGGAAGGCGAUAAGGUUAAUAACCUUGUCGAUUGACGUUACUCGCAGAAGAAGCACCGGCUAACUCCGUGCCAGCAGCCGCGGUAAUACGGAGGGUGCAAGCGUUAAUCGGAAUUACUGGGCGUAAAGCGCACGCAGGCGGUCUGUCAAGUCGGAUGUGAAAUCCCCGGGCUCAACCUGGGAACUGCAUCCGAAACUGGCAGGCUAGAGUCUUGUAGAGGGG